rnacentral:rRNA from 1 species
UACGUAGGGGGCGAGCGUUGUCCGGAUUUAUUGGGCGUAAAGAGCGUGUAGGCGGCCAGGUAGGUCUGCUGUGAAAACUCUGGGCUCAACCCAGAGCCUGCAUUCGAAACUGACGAGCUAGAGUUCUGGAGGGGAAAGCGGAAUUCCUGGUGUAGCGGUGAAAUGCGUAGAUAUCAGGAGGAACACCGGUGGCGAAGGCGGCAUUCUGGACCGAUAUUGACGCUGAGGAGCGAAAGCCAGGGGAGCAAACAGG